rnacentral:rRNA from 1 species
AUUGAACGCUGGCGGCGUGCCUAAUACAUGCAAGUAGGACGCAGUUGCGACCGGGUGAGUAACGCGUAGGUAACUACCUAUUAGAGGGGGAUAAAUAUUGGAAACGAUAGCUAAUAACGCAUACUAGUAGAUGGACCUGAGUUGUAUUAGCUAGUAGGUAGGGUAAAGGCCUACCUAGGCACCGCGACAUAGCCGACCGCAGAGACAGUUCCGCCACGAGGGGACGGGGACACGGCCCAUACUCCUACGGGUGGCAUCAGUAGGGAAACUUCGGCAAUGGGACUAAACCUUACCGAUCAACGCCGCGUGAGUGAAGCAAGUUUUCUUAUCGUAAAGCUCUGUUGUUAAGGAAGCGGUACUUAACCAGAAAGGGACGGCUAACUACGUGCCAGCAGCCGCGGUAAUAC